CUUGAUUCGUUCCGUGAACCAUUGGGCUCAUAUUUGGGUACAUCUUGAUUCAGUGAGCGAAUCCUUGAUUUUCCAAAAGGUUGAAGUGGACUUGAUUUUCCACUUCUUGGGAUUUGAUUCAUUGGAUUUAGUAGAUUGAAGAACUUGCAUAAAAGUGAGGCAAAGGUAAUAAAGGCGGCAAACGGCGAGGGGCAGGAAGGAAGUGUGAUUGCCAUAGGAAAUGUGUUAUUUUGCUUCCGCUUGUUUUUUUUAGGUUUACGACGUUGUAUUGAAACUUAGCUUACAAACUUUUAUUUGUAAAUAGUAUUUUUUUUUAAGUUUUUGGAAUAUUUGAAAAUCA